rnacentral:ncRNA from 1 species
NUACCGACUUAAUUGGAUUGAACAUUGGUAUGGGAACUUACUAAGUGGUAACUUUCAAAUUCAGAAAAACCCCGAAAUUAAUAAAAGUGGGCAAUCCUGAGUCAAAUCCUGUUUUCCCAAAACAAAGGUUCAGAAAGAAAAAGGAGUAAGUGCAGAGACUCAAUGGAUGGCGAUCUAAGUGAUGGAUUGACUUUGGAGGUGGUGGCGGCGAUUGUGAUGGUGUGGUGCAUCGAUCUACAUUUAGGGGGAGAG